rnacentral:rRNA from 1 species
CCUACGGGAGGCAGCAGUGGGGAAUAUUGCACAAUGGGCGCAAGCCUGAUGCAGCCAUGCCGCGUGUGUGAAGAAGGCCUUCGGGUUGUAAAGCACUUUCAGCGGGGAGGAAGGCGGUGAGGUUAAUAACCUCAUCGAUUGACGUUACCCGCAGAAGAAGCACCGGCUAACUCCGUGCCAGCAGCCGCGGUAAUACGGAGGGUGCAAGCGUUAAUCGGAAUUACUGGGCGUAAAGCGCACGCAGGCGGUUUGUUAAGUCAGAUGUGAAAUCCCCGGGCUCAACCUGGGAACUGCAUCUGAUACUGGCAAGCUUGAGUCUCGUAGAGGGGGGUAGAAUUCCAGGUGUAGCGGUGAAAUGCGUAGAUAUUAGGAAGAACACCAGUGGCGAAGGCGACUUUCUGGACGAAAACUGACGCUGAGGCGC